rnacentral:rRNA from 1 species
UGAGCAAUCUGCCCUUCUCUUCGGAAUAAGCGUUGGAAACGACGUCUAAUGCCGAAUACGACCUCCUUUCGCAUGAUCGGAGGUGGAAAGCUCCGGCGGAGAAGGAUGAGCUCGCGGCCUAUCAGCUAGUUGGUGUGGGUAAUGGCUCUCCAAGGCAUUGACGGGUAGCCGGCCUGAGAGGGUGACCGGCCACACUGGGACUGAGACACGGCCCAGACUCCUAGGAGG